AGCCUGAACGCUGGCGGCGUGGCUAAGACAUGCAAGUCGUACGGAGGUAGCAAUACCUCAGUGGCGGACGGGUGAGUAAUGUAUCGCUAACGUACCCCGAGGUCUGGGAUAGCUGUCCGAAAGGAUAGGUAAUACCAGGAGACAUCACGAGAAGGCAUCUUCUCGGGCUCAAAGGGCAACCGCCCCGGGAGCGGGCGAUAUCGUAUCAGCUUGUUGGUGAGGUAACGGCUCACCAAGGCGACGACGCGUAGCCGGACUGAGAGGUUGGCCGGCCACAUUGGGACUGAGGCACUGCCCAGACUCCUACGGGGGGCUGCAGUAACGAAUCUUCCGCAAUGCACGCAAGUGUGACGGAGCGACGCCGCGUGUGGGACGAAGCCCUUCGGGGUGUAAACCACUGUCAGGGGAUAGAAAGUUCUGAUCAUCCCCAGAGGAAGGCACGGCUAACUCUGCGCCAGCAGCCGCGGUAA
rnacentral:rRNA from 1 species